CGAUCGGCAACUUCGGGAUAACGAUUGCUCUAAGUGCUAGGGUGUUCGGGCUUGAUGAUAAGCAGUAGACUUGCUAUUGGAGCUGAGCUUUUCGGAUACAGCAAUGUGUCUGAUCGUUCGGACUAGUGGCUUGUCUUGCUGUGGAAUCGUUUUGCUACGGUAUGCGGUUCGCUUGCGGAUCGUAUUACUUCGGACAUCGUUUAAUAGCAAACUUAGAACUCGCUGCGUCUAGGGGAAUCCGACUGUCUAAUUAAAACAGAGCUUUGCGAUUGGCCGGAAAACUUGGUGUUGACGCAAAGUGAUUUCUGCCCAGUGCUCUGAAUGUUAACGUGAAGAAAUUCAAAUAAGCGCGGGUAAACGGCGGGAGUAACUAUGACUCUCUUCUGGUAGCCAAAUGCCUCGUCAUCUAAUUAGUGACGCGCAUGAAUGGAUUAACGAGAUUCCCACUGUCCCUGUCUACUAUCUAGCGAAACCACAGCCAAGGGAACGGGCUUGGACUUCAAUGCGG
rnacentral:rRNA from 1 species